CCACCAGCCAGCCUAGGAAUGUCCGAUGACAACAGCAAUACCGCCGGCCGACGACGGCGGGCGAAGCGUCUCAGCGCGGAGAAAGGGGGCGAGCAGCCUAGAGAGAGGGAGAGAGAUACGCGGGAAGCAGGCGGUGCCGCGGGGAGACGCCGUCAUAUGGACCGGCCCGCCGCCGCCGUUUUUUUCCGCCGCACCAGCAAGGGCUACAUGAUCCAGGUUCUUCAGAUCCCGGUAGGUGAAUGCUGCUUCUCUCAUGGCAUCUGCUUUCUUCUCAGGCCAGUUAGGGAAGUGCUUGAGCACUGCCCGUUCGUCUAUCAGUUCACUUGGCUGGUAUAUUUUUUAGAUUUACCUUGAGCUGUCGGUGUGCUAUUUUACACCAACCAAGAGUUGUGACAGCAAAGCCUGAAUACAAGCUUUCUUCUGCCUCAAGCUGUGUAAAAGGAACUCAGAUGGAACUCCUUUACCAGCCCUGGACACCUUUGGCUAAUAAGACCAAGUGAAUAUUUUGAAAAGUAGAGGGACAAGAAGAAACAAAAUAAAGCUGAGCAAAAGAAGGGGGGAAGCAGAUCUGAAUGUGUUUAUCUUUCAAAACACACAGAUUUCUGGUGAAGCCUUUCCUACCUGUAUCUGAACAGCAUUGGGCAUCUGUUUAUGCCACCAAAUAUAGGCGGUAGCAGAACCCCGAAAACGACAUAUCAGUAGGUUUAGAAAAAGGAGUCCCUACAAAGGAAGAUUCUGGCAAUGUUAUAAAGAAAAUGUAGAAAUAAACUGUUACAGGAUGACAGCAGAUUAAGCUGGCAUCAAAGGUUACUCUGUGUACUCUGAGAUACAGGUACCAUUGUAAAGUCCCUGAUCCGUAGGGAAUUGCAGCCAUGUUUAAAGAGUUCAUUGA